rnacentral:misc_RNA from 1 species
GUGAGUCAUCGAAUCUUUGAACGCACCUUGCACCUCUUGGUAUUCCAAGAGGUACACCUGUUUGAGUGUUUUGAUUUAACUCAUUUCCGGUUUAAGUAACAUUAAAUCGCGUUAUGGAUGUUGAGCGUUGCCGUGAUUGGCUCGCUUGAAAUAUAUUAGCUCUUUUGUCAAAGAUUGAACUUGGUGUGAUAUUUUGUCUUCAUCAAAAGUAUAUCUGGCUUCGAAAGGCUUUCUAGACCGUUGUGAGCGAGCGAAUACUCUGGUACGAGCGCGCGCACAAGACACAUGUCUUUUAGACCU